AAGCAGAGAAGCGAAUCGCAUCCAGUUUCGACCUGGAAAAUGACCAAUAGUCCCUGCUUU
rnacentral:tRNA from 1 species